AGGACGAACGCUGGCGGCGUGCUUAACACAUGCAAGUCGAGCGGAAAGGCCCUUCGGGGUACUCGAGCGGCGAACGGGUGAGUAACACGUGAGCAACCUGCCCUUAGCUUCGGGAUAGCUCCGGGAAACCGGAAUUAAUACCGAAUAUGACUUUGGCUGACAUCAGCAGAAGUGGAAAGUUUUUCGGCUAGGGAUGGACUCGCGGCCUAUCAGCUAGUUGGUGAGGUAACGGCCCACCAAGGCGACGACGGGUAGCCGGCCUGAGAGGGCGACCGGCCACACUGGGACUGAGACACGGCCCAGACUCCUACGGGAGGCAGCAGUGGGGAAUAUUGCGCAAUGGGCGAAAGCCUGACGCAGCGACGCCGCGUGGGGGAUGAAUGCCUUCGGGUUGUAAACCCUUUCAGCAGGGACGAAGCGAAAGUGACGGUACCUGCAGAAGAAGCGCCGGCUAACUACGCGCCAGCAGCCGC
rnacentral:rRNA from 1 species